GACGAACGCUGGCGGCGUGCUUAACACAUGCAAGUCGAACGGAAAGGCCCUGCUUUUGUGGGGUGCUCGGGUGGCGAACGGGUGAGUAACACGUGAGCAACCUGCCCUUGACUUUGGGAUAACUUCAGGAAACUGGGGCUAAUACCGGAUAGGAGCUCCUGCUGCAUGGUGGGGGUUGGAAAGUUUCGGCGGUUGGGGAUGGACUCGCGGCUUAUCAGCUUGUUGGUGGGGUAGUGGCUUACCAAGGCUUUGACGGGUAGCCGGCCUGAGAGGGUGACCGGCCACAUUGGGACUGAGAUACGGCCCAGACUCCUACGGGAGGCAGCAGUGGGGAAUAUUGCACAAUGGGCGGAAGCCUGAUGCAGCAACGCCGCGUGCGGGAUGACGGCCUUCGGGUUGUAAACCGCUUUCGCCUGUGACGAAGCGUGAGUGACGGUAAUGGGUAAAGAAGCACCGGCUAACUACGUG
rnacentral:rRNA from 1 species